rnacentral:rRNA from 1 species
AUUGAACGCUGGCGGCAUGCUUUACACAUGCAAGUCGAACGGUAACAGGCCGCAAGGUGCUGACGAGUGGCGAACGGGUGAGUAAUGCAUCGGAACGUGCCCAGUCGUGGGGGAUAACUACUCGAAAGAGUAGCUAAUACCGCAUACGAUCUAUGGAUGAAAGCGGGGGACCGUAAGCCCUCGCGCGAUUGGAGCGGCCGAUGUCAGAUUAGGUAGUUGGUGGGGUAAAGGCUCACCAAGCCAACGAUCUGUAGCUGGUCUGAGAGGACGACCAGCCACACUGGGACUGAGACACGGCCCAGACUCCUACGGGAGGCAGCAGUGGGGAAUUUUGGACAAUGCGCGCAAGCCUGAUCCAGCAAUGCCGCGUGCAGGAAGAAGGCCUUCGGGUUGUAAACUGCUUUUGUACGGAACGAAACGGCUCUGGUUAAUACCCGGGGCUAAUGACGGUACCGUAAGAAUAAGCACCGGCUAACUACGUG